rnacentral:rRNA from 1 species
GCAUAUCAAUAAGCGGAGGAAAAGAAACCAACAGGGAUUGCCCUAGUAACGGCGAGUGAAGCGGCAACAGCUCAAAUUUGAAAUCUGGCCUCGGCCCGAGUUGUAAUUUGCAGAGGAUGUUUCUGGCGCGGUGCCUUCUGAGUUCCCUGGAACGGGACGCCAUAGAGGGUGAGAGCCCCGUACGGUUGGACACCUAGCCUGUGUGAAGCUCCUUCGACGAGUCGAGUAGUUUGGGAAUGCUGCUCAAAAUGGGAGGUAUAUCUCUUCUAAAGCUAAAUACCGGCCAGAGACCGAUAGCGCACAAGUAGAGUGAUCGAAAGAUGAAAAGCACCUUGAAAAGGGGGUUAAACAGCACGUGAAAUUGUUGAAAGGGAAGCGCCUAUGACCAGACUUGUGUCUGGCGGAUCACCCAGCGUUCUCGCUGGGGCACUCCGCCAGGUCCAGGCCAGCAUCGGUUUUCGCCGGGGGAUAAAGGCUCUGGGAACGUAGCUCCUCCGGGAGUGUUAUAGCCCUCUGCGUAAUACCCUGGCGGGGACCGAGGUACGCGCUCCGCAAGGAUGCUGGCGUAAUGGUCAUCAGCGACCCGUCUUGAAACACGGACC